rnacentral:rRNA from 1 species
AGUGAACGCUGGCGGUAGGCCUAACACAUGCAAGUCGAACGGCAGCACAGUAAGAGCUUGCUCUUACGGGUGGCGAGUGGCGGACGGGUGAGGAAUACAUCGGAAUCUACUUUUUCGUGGGGGAUAACGUAGGGAAACUUACGCUAAUACCGCAUACGACCUACGGGUGAAAGCAGGGGAUCUUCGGACCUUGCGCGAUUGAAUGAGCCGAUGUCGGAUUAGCUAGUUGGCGGGGUAAAGGCCCACCAAGGCGACGAUCCGUAGCUGGUCUGAGAGGAUGAUCAGCCACACUGGAACUGAGACACGGUCCAGACUCCUACGGGAGGCAGCAGUGGGGAAUAUUAGACAAUGGGCGCAAGCCUGAUCCAGCCAGACCGCGUGGGUGAAGUAGGCCUUCGGGUUGUAAAGCCCUUUUGUUGGGAAAGAAAAGCAGCAGGUUAAUACCCCGCUGUUCUGACGGUACCCAAAGAAUAAGCACCGGCUAACUUCGUG